ACAGUGAACAGUUAAAGAGAAGUAAACCAAGCAAACUGAAAGAUAAUAGGACACAAUAAUUUUUAUACCGGUGAGGUACUUACAUCUAGUUUCCCUUGGGUCACAAGGGACUUCUUAGAUCUUUGAUAAUAGGUUACAAUGAUGAUGGUUUUGGUUCGCUCACCAUCAACAACAUUCAGUGAUAAUGCCUUUUGUAAUGUUGACACAACUUUCUUUUUGUGUUCUAUCUCUUCCUAUCUUUUAUGACACUUGUAGACUCAAGAAUACAAUGUUUGUACUAAGAACUAGAAAGGUUUAGAAUCAGUUUAUGUAGUUGCGCAUCCAAUCCUUGAGUAUGCCACUCUUCUUAUAGACCAGAUUUUAGAGCUGUUGUUGAUUUGUUUUUGAUAUUUGAUUCAUGACUCAUGCCUUUAAUUCCUUCAAGAAGGAUGGGCUGGAUUUAAUAAUCUAGUGUUCCAAGCCGAGAUCUAGAGAGUGCUUCCAUGCUCCAUGCUUUGUCGAAGAAAGGAGUAGAUGGGCUGGAUUAGUUUAUCCAGGGAGUGCUUUCCAUGCUCCAUGCUUUAUUGGGUAGAGGAACAAUACUUCAAGUUGUCUCCCAUUAUAUUAUGUUUCCCUUCCACUUUGAAUCUUCCUUCAUACAUGAUCUGCUAUUUGUAUUUGCAGGUGAGUUAUAUAUAAGGCAAUGGUUCAAAAUACAUAGCCAUUGAGCAGAUCUUCAUUCCUUUUUGGCAAUGCUUGCUUCACCUGAAUCUGCAUACACUAAUAUAACAUUAGUCAAGACUUCUUUAUGGAUAUUUGAUCAUUAUUAAAAUUCUACACUUAACCGUCAUUAGUUUAUCAUUCAUCAGAUGAAGUCAUAAAUUCCUAAUAUAUAGAGGAAAGAAAAUCCCUUGCAAAGGGAGCACUGUUGCAGGCUAAAAACCUUGACUUAAACUGGUGUUUCCGUUGAUGUUUUGAUGUAGAAACUAUAAGCUGAGCACACAAAUGAUAGAAAGGCAUGUAGGAGAGAUAUCUGGUUUGAGUUUGAGAUAAAUGAGGCAACUGCAGUAACUAGUAGCUGAGAUAAGAAUUUAGUUUGAGAAUGUUCAAAUGAAUAACUAGCUAGCUAGUUUCUUGCCACCUAUAACCAAGAUCCUGGAGCAUCUGUUAAGAAGUCAAAGGAGAAAAGCUCCUGGCCUCUGAUACUUUUGCAGCUGUGGCUACUCGUUGCUGCAUUGCUUGACAAUCGAUAAUUGGCUUACUUUUCUAAGAUGCUUCUUACAUCAAGCAACCCAAUCAUUAAACAUAAUGACCAUAAAUAUCUAAAUAACUUGUCCCUAUACGGUUAUCUGUGGGCACUACAAAUGCUAGCUAAACUGAUUUUCUGGCUUUCUACGAUUCUUGUUUUACCACUACAAGUGAUCUUGUUUAGAACCCUUUAUUCUGAUGAGAUAUAAGAGAGCAUCAACUCACUUGUCAAACCAAGAUCUUGCUAAAAGUAGUGGAGAACCCCAGCUAAAACAGUUUUAAGCAUUAUUUUGGCUAUAAUGAACACAUCCAGAGAGGGACAGCGCAUCUGCAAUCAUUCUUCUUUCUCUUAUGGUCACUAUCAUCAAUAUUGUUAUUAAAGGAUGAGUUGUUUCCUUUUUGAAAUAACUCGCUUGUAUAGAUAAGAAAAAUAUAUCUUAAUUAAGCACUAUUAGGGAAAAAAGCACAAGCUAAAACUUACCUUCUGACAGCACAAUAGGAAUAUGCAAAAUUCAAAAGCAACGGCUAUUUUUAUCAUUACCAUUAUGAUGUAGAUUCUGGCAAGUAUUAUUGAGGAAUAUUGGCCCCCUUUAUAGAAUGGUCACGCAUAUAGAAUAAAGGAUGAAACUUUGUCUGAGGUUCAUCUUGUCUGGUUAAAAAUGGUGAUUAGGAUUCCUCCUUAUCAAAUCCUAUGUCAACACUCGAGCUUCUGCGCUUAGGUGGAAUCAGCUACAGUUUCCAUGUCAGCAUUCACGGUCCCAAUAACUGGUCAAGCGACUUCAACUCAUUGUCAAUCUCGGAUUACUCUUGAUUUGCUUCACUAUGAAAACCAUGUUAUGUGUUUGUAUGAGAGGCCUGGAUUUUUUUCUGUGACUCAUCAAUGACCAUAGAUUGUGUAAUAUUCACUCAUUUCUUGCCACUUAUAACUGUGCGGAGAGUUUGUCAAUUCUUGGAUCUUUGCUUGAAAACUCUUACCAAUGCAUAAUAAACUAUCCCUUUAGUAAGGGAGUUCAGAUAUUAGCAUUCUCCUUUUAUGGCUUUUGAACCAAGGAAAAGUUAUAGUAUAACCUUACAAUCCUUUUCCUUUUAUGAAAAGAGAGAGAUCACUAAACUGAUUAUUGUCAAAGAUGGUUAACCUUAUAACUUAUCAUAAAAACAAUUACAGGGCUUCAAAGUCAUAAAGUUCAAAUCUUGUGCCAUGCAUCACAUUCAGAAUCUUCAGAGAAUUGAUGAAAAACAAAGGUAAACGUCGUGUGAUUGUAUACCUUAAUACAUUGUCUCAGGUACCAGUCAAGAAAGAGGUAUUUCUCUUAAAAUUGAUAUAUUAAAUACUGUCAGGAAUAACGCAACUCUCAUGUUUUGUUCCGAAUUAAUGUAUCACCUGUCUGUACCGAUAAAAGCUGUUAACAUUCUUAGCAAUCUAUUUGGUGAAACUAAGGACUGGUCUGAUAAUAUCUAGAGUGCUCUGAUUUCUAACACAUGCAUGACUAAACAGGAGAUGAAAAGAAGUCCACUUUUGAAUUAUUAAGAAGAAUAUUACACAAUAAGAAUAAUAGGACUUGAAUUUGCAUUAUGAGGGAAUUGAUUCCUUGGUGGUAAACUUUGUCACAGUUUUUGCCCCUUUAGAACCUGAACCAUUUUCCACCUGAACGACGUUAGCCUUCGUGUCAGGCAGUUGCUUGCAUUGGCAAUGUGGAUUACACACACUAAUCUAAUGUGUAAGCGUGAGAAUCCAAAUCAUCUCAAGGGUCCAUCUAUCUUAGCAAGAUCACGCGGUAAAAUAACCCCACCUUUCACAUAACAUCUUCCCCUCAUAACACCUACUAGAAAUGGAUACAGAACAAAGAAUAAUAUUUUGAGGAGCUCCUUUUUAGUAGAAUAAUGGACAGUCGAACAGGUAAGGAGGGGCAUUAUUGGACUUCUGCAAGAAAAUAUGCUUCACAUGCAUGAAUAUGACAGUCGACAACUUUAGAGAGCCAUACCUCUACAGUCAAUAAGGAAGGAAAGUAGUUGGUUUAUCCAACUCUUUUUUGGAAAAUUUGCGCUAUCUUGUGGAAUCUCAUUUAAGGAAACUGUUUGAAGUCACAAAACAGAUCAAAAAGUAAACUUUGGGCCCCAAACAAUGAGGUCUUCCAACUAUAUAUACCUCCCCAAACCAUUCAUCAAAAUUACCACUUACAGCAAACCAUUUCUUGAGCUUCAAGUUUACGUCUAGUUGAGAAGUUCAAGUCUUCAAAUUAUCAAGGUGAGGCAUCGAUGAUUUAGUUUCCUUUUGUGGUUCAUUUCAUUAUUCUUCCAGCUUCUACACAAAAAAGGAAGAAAAAUACAAUAACUUUAGUCUUGAGUCCAAGUUUUUCAAACAAACUAGGCCCUUAAAUACAAGAUUAAUGUGCUGCGAAAUUUUUUCCUAGAAUGAAAUAACUGUUCAUGUGUAAGCAAUGCAGUUCUAGCAUAUAGAACUGAGACCUUGUUGACUAUAACCAUGUAUAGAAUGAGGCCUCAAAGAUGGAUAACCAAUAAGAUUUAAUGGCCUAUUUUACUUCCCAUAUGAAAAUUUGUUCUCAUCAUAUUUUCAAGUUCAAUUUCAGGUAGACAUAAAAUGAGCAGUGGAGAUUGGAUGUGUGCUGCAUGCCAACACAUAAAUUUCAAGAAACGGGAUGCAUGCCAACGAUGCAGCUGUCCUAAAUAUGCAACGCCGGCUGAUGUUGCCAUGUAUGGACUAAACAAAGCAGAAGUCUUAGCUGGAGACUGGUAUUGCAGUGCGAUGAACUGUGGUUCUCACAACUAUGCGAGUCGAACAAACUGCUAUAGAUGUGGUGCCUUAAGAAGUGAUUAUUACGCUGUUGGGGCAGGAGUGAUGGCAUCAGCAGGUUAUGGAUAUGAUGCAAGUGCUAUUCCUGGUUGGAAGAGUGGUGAUUGGAUUUGCAGCAGGUCAGUUCAUAUUUACACAUUUCAUUUCCCAUGCAGUUCACUUACUCUAUAACAAUAACUACGCCUCAAUCCCGAGCAAGAUAGGCUUAACUGUAUGAAUCCUAAAGGUUAAUGUCUCUCCUUUUAAUCUCAUCUCUGUCCAAUACUGCAACAACACCAUCACUACUGUCCAAUAUCGCUCUAGUUAAACUCAUCUCAAACCAACAAUAUACAAAAUAAAAUUAAAAAAUACUAGAAGUUUACUAUAUUUUCUACUGGCAUAUAAAUCUCUGAUAAGACUAGGACUCCUAGAAAACAUUGUAUUAUGAGGAAUCAUCACAAGAUUGACUAGUUUUACGCUAACUGUUAGCCUGCCGCAAUUCUCCUCCUUUUACUACUGAUAUGUGCAGGUGACAUACUAUAGUUGGGAUUUUAACUAACAUAACUUCCUUGAUCGACAGAAUUGGAUGUGGUAUGCACAACUAUGCAAGCAGAGAAGAAUGUUAUAAAUGCAAGACACCUAGGGAUUUUUGUGAGACAUCUUCCAUGCGAUUCUGAUACUUCCUAUCAAUAUUUUACUUUCCAACACCAUUGUUUAUUUACUAACAUCUGUUAAUUUCUCUGUUUUUUAGGAGGUGAUCUGAGAGAAAGUGGAUUAUAUUGAGGGAUGCGGCGACAUUAAGUUAUUACUGAAGAUUUACCAGAAAUCAUAACCUUCAAUGACCUUUCUUCUUUUCCUUUUAGUUUUUCUUUUCUUGUUUAGUAGUUUCCUUGUAGUUGCUCAAAGAAGGGUUUGUAAGUCUAACUGCAUUGUAACUUUACAAAGUGUUCAAUGAAUGAAAUCCCUUCAGAUUUCGCAUUCUUUCUGUCUUUCAAGUUUCAACAACUGCAUUUGUAGGGGUGGUCCAAUAAAAUAAUUUUAUGUAUCCAAUGGAAGGAAUUGCUAGCGUAGGCUCGGGCCUUAUAUGUGUAAGAAAAGAAUAAAAGAAAGUAUAUAUAUAAAGAACCAGACCUACUGACUCUAAAUCCUAAAUACAGUGCUGUGGACUGUGGCUAGUGGCUUAGGUGAGUCUUCCCAACUUACUUUAAACAACACUUGUCACACCUCCUUUUUCUCGAUAGGGAUAGGGGAUAGGGGAUAAGGGAGUUUUUUUCAAUUUAAGUGACAUUAUUCGAAUUGAGAUUAUUUUUAUUUUUUUCAAAGUCGUCACUUGGAAUAUUUAGGGUGUUCCAAGUCACCGGUUUAUUUUAAAUCCCAAAUCGAGAAAAUUUGACUCGGUUUAUGUUCCGCAAACACAGAAGACCAGGUAAGGAAUUUUGUUAAUCCGAGAAAAGGUGCCAGACACUCGCGAAUUUCAUGAUUUUAGCACGGUCGCUUUAAUCAUACCUGGUUUAAUUAGAUUGUUUUAUCACGUAUUUUAAAACCUAAGUGCAUUUUACCUUUUACCGCUUUUAAUUAUGGCGUUUAUGGAUUUAAUCUUUGAAACAGACUACAUGUGUGUAAGUCUGCUUCGUUUGGGGCACUAAAAUCAUGUCACGCGAACGUGUACACAAUUAAUUGUGCUUUAUUAAUUUAAGAUUGUUUGGUCGAAGUUGCGCGAACGCAUACCUCGAUUUAAUUUUGGAUAUCGGGAUCACGUCACGCGGACAUGUACGCAUUCACGAUAGUAGUUUAAAAUCCGUGCCUAAAGCAUUUCUACGAGUGUUUAAUUAAGUCAUUUUAUUUACUAAGAUUGUUUGACCAUGAUCACACGAACAUGUACCUUGGUUUGUUUUUGGCAUCACAACUAUGUCACGCGUGCGUGUACAUGAUUGUAAUAAUUAAGUUGAUUAUAAAUACCUUGAGUUAUGCUUAUGUCUCUAAACUAAAUAUUCUAUGUCAUAUGGCUAAGUGUAAAGGUUUAAUACUAGGUGAUAUGUUUGUUUGUAUUAGAUGGGGGCAGCCUAUGUAUUAUCUGUCAAACAGGCCCAGAUUUAAAGUUUGAGGCCCGAUGAGGAUUGAGUCCAAAUGAACUUUAGCCCAAGACAUAUAUUUUCGUUAUUGGGCUUAGCUAAUGGAUUCAGUUCAAAAGGAUUUGGGCUUGUUUGAGUCUAAUUGACUGCCCAAUGCAUAUUUUAAGGCAGCUAAAUGAAUUCAAUCCAAACGAUUUGGGCCUAGUGAUCAUGGAGUCCAAAUGACUCUGGCCCAAUACCAUGUUGUUAAGCAAUCAAUCAAUUAAACACAUUUAAUUCAGAAAGAUCUAGGGCUAAUGAUGAGUCCAAAUGACUGUGACUUAAUGUUCAAUUUUAUAGACAACUAAAUGAAAUUAACUAAAGGCAUUUGGGCUUGGUGAUAAUGAGCCCAUGUGACUUUGGCACAACUCAAUGUUAUUAAGCAUUCAGUCAAUUAAACACAUUUAAUUCAGAAAGAUCUGGGCCUGAUGAUGAGUCCAAAUGACUCUGGCCCAAUGUUCAUUUUUAUGGACAACUAAAUAAAAUUAACUAAAGAUAUUUGGGCCUGGUGAUAAUGAGUCCAUGUGACUCUGGCCCAGUGCAUAAUUGUGUGAAUGAGUUUGAAAUUAAAAUUUAUAACAACAAUUAUCAGAUUUUACUUAUAUUUUGUUUAUCUUUUAAAACAGAAAACUAAAAAGGGUCUGGGGACACGAACCAAAAUUAAAAUUGGAUAAUUUCCUAUUAAUUGCUUAAAUCUCCUAUUUCUUAUAUUAACUUAUGUUAAAGUGAUAAGUUUUAAAACUCAUUUGCAUUUGAAAAUCUUAAAGUGUAAAGGCCUUUAAUCAACUCAUUUUUAUUAGCCAAAGACCCAGAAUACAAUCUUAUGGACCCAAUUGAUUUGGGCCUGAAUUCGUACCUUGAUUACUGUUAGGUUGCUUGUAAAAUCCAGCUUUUUAUGAUUUUAAACUAAUAGCAUUGGAAUUAGUAUAUUUUAAUUGUUUAAUAACAUAGUAAAGCUACUAACUAACGCAUUGCAUGAGAGGAUAUAAUAUAAAACAAAAUUAAAUUAUUACAUCUCACUAACAUGGACAGUGAUAACAAAUCUGUCUACUACUAAUCUAACAAAUUUUCUAGAAAAAAGAAAGAUUUUCUCUUUUUAACUAUUCGAACGUACCAAUCUUAUGACUAUAUGAAGCUUUAAACAGAUUUUAUAAUUUUUUCAGAACCCUUUAAAAUGAAGCUAAUAUAACUUAAAUUGCCUAAAACAGUGUAAAUAAUUAACUCUACAUGCUUUCAUACACAACUCUCAACCAAACAACUUCAAACAAUAUGAUUCAUGCAGUGCUCAGAUGAAGUAGAAAUUCUUGAUAACCAGCAAAAAUAAAACUUUACAUUGUUAAAAGAAAAUACCUUGAUAGCAGCAAGCAAACUACAGAUAAGAAAAUAAGUAUCUGAAAGCUUGAAGUAAAACAGCAGCAAUAAAACCCAAUAGAAUAAGAAGACGACCAGAUUUUUAAAAAUAGGAAAGGAAUGUAUAUUUUUGAUUCUCAAAGAUCAAGGUUGAUUUUCAAAAGUUUUUCUUUUGAAAGAGAGCAAAAUCUUAAGGCAGUCUAUAUGUGUCCAUAAUGUGUCUUCA
rnacentral:lncRNA from 1 species